rnacentral:rRNA from 1 species
UACGGAGGGUGCGAGCGUUGUUCGGAAUCACUGGGCGUAAAGCGCGUGUAGGCGGUCUGGCAAGUCUGGUGUGAAAGCCCGGGGCUCACCCCCGGAAGUGCACUGGAAACUGCCAGACUCGAGUCCGGGAGAGGAGAGUAGAAUUCCUGGUGUAGCGGUGACAUGCGUAGAUAUCAGGAGGAAUACCGGUGGCGAAGGCGGCUCUCUAGACGGUGACUGACGCUGAGACGCGAAAGCGUGGGGAGCAAACAGG